UUUGCCCAAGGGAGCAGGUGUUCCGGCCCCAGCUGUGUACCUCUCAUUGAAGAAGACACCGAGCCGGAAGAUUUCGGAUCAGCCAGUCCACAGAAUACAGUGGUUCAUCCAGGUGCCCGUGCACUUCAUGGGCUGGGAGGACCAAGUUCACAAACAGGUGCAGUGCCCUGGAGCAGUGUUGCCACGCCUCGUUUGCAAAGUGGGAGAUUUGGAUCCAUUCUGGGAUUGGAGGAUGCUGCCCUGUGGAGUGUGGGCAUUUCUGCCGGUCAGCAGAGAAGGGGGAGGCCAGUGUGACCCAUCCCAGCGGAGUUUGAAUGGUCCUAUGGAAAACUCCAGUGUGUGGCUCACUGCUGAAUCAGUCCUGGGCCUCCAGGGCCUGUUGCCGGUGCCAGUCGCCUGUGCCUGCUGAGCGCCGAACAUGUUGAGCUUUUAUUAUUACAGAGGACGGCACUCACUCCCCGUCAUCACGGGGCGAAGCCUGGUUCUGCUGCACAGGGGCCUGCUUUCAGAUGGAGACCCUAGG